rnacentral:lncRNA from 1 species
UCUACUAAUGCAAGUACCUCUGUAUGGGACACUUGUCACCAGACGUGGCUGCUCAUCUGCUGUCCCUAGAUAGAAACUCUUCUUUAAUGCAAGUGAAGAGAAUGGACCAGUGACAGUUGAGCACCCCGUGGGAAAGCAGGGUCCCCUGGGCACCUGGAGUCAGAGGGUAGAGCCCACUUGCUCAAAGACUAGUCAGAUGAGGAAGAUCUUGUGAGGCCAGGGUGCUUAAAACAGAAAACAGGAAAAAGCGAGAGAGAGGUGCUGACUGGGAUUUCUUCCCCUUGUCCCCUAACCUUUCUGAAGAUUCCGGAUGGUUUUGGCAAGCCUCCCAGCUUUUGCGUACAUAAACAGACGACUUCCCUAGGACACAGCUUGAGCAAUAAAAGGCUCUCAUUUGGGGAUAGUUGGGUCAGACAGAGUCUGUGCCUGGUCCUUUUCCAGACUCGACUGCCCAUGGGAUACAGAGGCAGGCCAGGAUGACAGACUUGCAACAAGGAGACAGGAGGGCCCAGAGUCCAAGCCCAUGGAACAGCACCAAAGAGAAGCACUAUGUGGAGAGAUUGCUUUAUUUUCUGAUAAUGAUGUCGUGGCUGGAAUGACUUAAGAUGUAUAUAUUUUUUAACCGGCAGUCCUUCUCGCUGUCUCGCCUCCCCGUACGUAUGUGUUGUCCCACAGCCCUCAUGUAAAUCACAUGCCCUGGGAUUAUCCCAUCCAUUCCCAUGUAUCUGAAAUCUAAUAAAUAAGGAAAGGUCUGC